AUUGAACGCUGGCGGCACGCCUAACACAUGCAAGUCGAGCGGUAGCAGGGCCUGUAGUAAUACAGGUCGCUGACAAGCGGCGGACGGGUGAGUAAAACGUAGGAACCUGCCCUUAAGCGGGGGACAACCAAGGGAAACUUUGGCUAAUACCGCAUAGCAACUCGAGAGAGGGAAGCUGCCUCGCACUUGUGCGAGGUGGCGCUUGAGGAGGGGUCUGCGUCCGAUUAGCCAGUUGGUGGGGUAAGAGCCCACCAAGGCGAUGAUCGGUAACUGGUCUGGGAAGACGACCAGUCACACUGGGACUGAGACACGGCCCAGACUCCUACGGGAGGCAGCAGUGGGGAAUAUUGGACAAUGGGGGCAACCCUGAUCCAGCGAUGCCGCGUGAGUGAAGAAGGCCCUCGGGUCGUAAAGCUCUUUAGGUCGGGAAGAAGGGCGUUUGUUGAAUAGACAAGCGUUUUGACGGUACUGACAGAAUAAGCACCGGCAGACUCUGUGCCAGCAGCCGCGGUAA
rnacentral:rRNA from 1 species